AAGAGUUACAAUAAGCUAGCCUUGAAGUAACAAAUGCAUGGACUAGUUUCUCUGCAUCGUUUUGAGGCAAGCACACAACUACAAUCAUAACAUCAUUAGAAAAUGAAAUGAUUUCAUGAUUUUUAUGACUGUGAUAUUUUGUUUUCUUUGAUAAAUGCGGAGUUUAAGCGUAUAACAACCCUGCCCCUCCAAUCAAGAUUUCUCUCUCAGCUGGAUGUGCUAUCUGACAAACUUCUGAAGGUUUUUGAGAAGAGAGGAGGACAGAUGGACCAGCGUCUGAACUGUAUUAUGUCAAACAUGACUCAAGUUGAUGAUGUCGAUUUAGGGCGGGAUUGUCUUCUCAAGGGGCUGUGUGUGUACCUCAAUGAGAGAGUUUGUGGCAGAAGAUGAAGACGUCAUUCUGCGGUCCAUUCAGGGGAUUACAGUGGGACUUUAUGUUGUCAAACACAAUUCCACCAUGAGACCAGAGGACAGAUGAGACCAGAGGACAGAUGAGACCAG